ensembl:snRNA U6 U6 spliceosomal RNA
GUGGUUACUUCAGCAGCAUAUAUACUAAAAUGAAAUGGUAGAGAGAACAUUAGUAUGUCCCUUGCACAAAGAUGACAUGCAAACUUGUGAAGCAUUCCAUAUUUUU